GUGCUUGCUUCGGCAGCACAUAUACUAAAAUUGGAUGCAGAGAAGAUUAGUAUGGCCCCUGCGCAAGGAUGACAAAUUGGUGAAGCGUUCCAUAUUAAA
ensembl:snRNA U6 U6 spliceosomal RNA